rnacentral:misc_RNA from 1 species
UCAAACUUGGUCAUUUAGAGGAAGUAAAAGUCGUAACAAGGUCUCCGUAGGUGAACCUGCGGAGGGAUCAUUACUGAGUGAGGGCCUUCGGGUCCGACCUCCAACCCUUUGUGAACCACCUCUGUUGCUUCGGGGGCGACCCUGCCGUUCGCGCGGCGGCGGCGCCCCCGGAGGCCCAAUCAAACACUGCGUAACUUUGCGUCGGAGUCUUAAACAAAUAAAUCAAAACUUUCAACAACGGAUCUCUUGGUUCUGGCAUCGAUGAAGAACGCAGC